rnacentral:rRNA from 1 species
CUACGGGAGGCUGCAGUGGGGAAUAUUGGACAAUGGGGGCAACCCUGAUCCAGCAAUGCCGCGUGUGUGAAGAAGGCCUGCGGGUUGUAAAGCACUUUCAAUAGGGAGGAAAAGCUUUGGGUUAAUACCCCGAAGUCUUGACGUUACCUUUAGAAGAAGCACCGGCUAACUCUGUGCCAGCAGCCGCGGUAAUACAGAGGGUGCGAGCGUUAAUCGGAAUUACUGGGCGUAAGCGCGCGUAGGCGGUUUGAUAAGUCAGAUGUGAAAGCCCCGGGCUUAACCUGGGAACUGCAUUUGAUACUGUCAAACUAGAGUAUGGUAGAGGGUAGUAGAAUUCCUGGUGUAGCGGUGAUAUGCGUAGAUAUCAGGAGGAAUACCAGUGGCGAAGGCGGCUACCUGGACCAAUACUGACGCUGAGGUGCGAAAGCGUGGGGAGCAAACAGGAUUAGAUACCCGAGUAGUC